rnacentral:rRNA from 1 species
AAUCAACGCUGGCGGCGUGCCUAACACAUGCAAGUCGAACGCGAAAGUGGAGCAAUCCAUGAGUAGAGUGGCAAACGGGUGAGUAACGCGUGGGCGACCUACCUUCGAGUGGGGGAUAACAUUCCGAAAGGAGUGCUAAUACCGCAUGACAUCCCGUGUUUGGAUACACGGACAUCAAAGCAGGGGAUCGCAAGACCUGGCGCUUGGAGAGGGGCCCGCGUCCGAUUAGCUAGUUGGUGAGGUAACGGCUCACCAAGGCUCCGAUCGGUAUCCGGCCUGAGAGGGCGGACGGACACACUGGAACUGAGACACGGUCCAGACUCCUACGGGAGGCAGCAGUGGGGAAUUGUUCACAAUGGGCGCAAGCCUGAUGACGCAACGCCGCGUGGAGGAUGAAGACUUUCGGUCGUAAC